rnacentral:rRNA from 1 species
UACGGGGGGGGCAAGCGUUGUUCGGAAUUACUGGGCGGAAAGGGCUCGUAGGCGGCCAACUAAGUCAGACGUGAAAUCCCUCGGCUUAACCGGGGAACUGCGUCUGAUACUGGAUGGCUUGAGUUUGGGAGAGGGAUGCGGAAUUCCAGGUGUAGCGGUGAAAUGCGUAGAUAUCUGGAGGAACACCGGUGGCGAAGGCGGCAUCCUGGACCAACACUGACGCUGAGGCGCGAAAGCUAGGGGAGCAAACGGG